AUAGUACUCCCUCCGUCCGGAAAUACUUGUCUUACAAAUAAAUGUAUCUAGACUUAUUUUAGUUAUAGAUACAUUCAUUUUAUUCAUUUCGAGGACAAGUAUUUUCGGACGGAGGGAGUAUGAA
rfam:Triticum aestivum genome assembly, contig: Triticum_aestivum_CS42_TGACv1_scaffold_035164_1BL